ACUGUGUCUGUAGUGUCAGCAUUAAUGGGAAUAAAAACAUCAGGCUGAAGUCAGUGUCCAGUGGUUUGUGAGCCUGAUCUGAUCUGCAUGUAUGAUUUGUUUGCAGAUGUUUCUUCAUGUUUCUGUGGUUUCUCUGUCCUGUAGGUCAUGUGUGAUGGUGGUGCCGGACGUCGAUCUCAUCUGUGAGAUCAUGUUGGUGGCCGAGGGUUUGGCCAAAAAGUUCAUCACUCUCUAUCAGCUCUGCCAGGAGUCUCUCUCCAACAGAUUCAGAAGUCUUUAUACUGUAUAGUCUUAAAUUAUUGCUCCGAUGCCAUUACAAUUUCCCUAGAGGGCUGUUAGAGAUCAAGGCCUUUAGGGAGAGCAGUUUCUCUAGCGUUUCGAGGAAUGUUUACCCGUCAUUGGGACUUUAUUUGAUUGCGAUGUUAUGAGACACCCAAUUGCUUUCUAAUAAAAAUGCCAUCAAUCCCACUAUCGUACUUCUGUUACUCUAUAAAAUGUUUUUAGGUACAUUUGAUACACACUGUGAAAUAUGUGAAUGUGAAGCUGAACAAUCAAAGUCUUUAUUAUUAAACAGUGUGUGACCGCGUUUGGCCUGCAGUAGUUGAUUGGACUCUCUCAGUCUCACCGUCACAGGAUCACUGGGCUCUGCGGGCUGUUAGGUCAGUGCUGGUCGUGGCCGAUUCCCUGAAGAGAGGAGAUCCGCGCAGACCAGAGGACCAGGUGCUGAUGAGAGCCUUGAGAUGGUGAUCGAUGACAUGCCUGUCUUCAAGGGCCUCGUCAGGACCUCUUCCCGGCGCUCGAUGUGCCACGGAAAAGGGAUAUGGACUUUGAUAAAUUUGUCAAGCAGUCCGUGUUGGAUGUCAAACUACAGGCCGAGGACAACUUUGUGCUCAAGGCGUUCUGUACAUCAACCCUGCUGAUUUAGGCUGGAAUCCACCUGUGUGGAGCUGGAUUGACCGGAGAGAAGGCCAAUCUGACCAUUCUGCUGGACAAUUUCUGCCCAAAUUUCUAUAUAUCCUAAUUAUUGUUAAUAUGUAAUUCAUUUUUCCAGGAGCUCUUUGCUUCUACCUUCAAUUAAAUUGCUAACAGUGAUUGUAAAUUAAUUGCCUAAAUUAUUACAUUAUUAGCUAACUGCAUUCUCUAAAUUGUAAUGUUGACAUGCAUUCUCUGUAAAGCUGCUUUGAAACGAUAUGUAUUGUGAAAAGCGCUAUACAAAUAAAUGUGAAUUGAAUUGAAUUGGACAAUACCUCCCAUCAUGCCUCGAUACUCUCAGGUCAAGGUGCGGCACCAGAUGCUUUCCUCUCUAAGUUAGAAACGACAUACCAGUUUUGAAUUCUGGCUCUCUCUUUCAGCCUCCCUAGAGCCGGACUAACGCUCAACUCAUUAAUAUUAAUUAGGUCCCAUAACUAAGAAUUCUAAGAAGAUUUAGCAACAUCAGCAUGAACUGAUUAAUAUUCAUGAGCUACACUUCUUAUGCGCUCUAUGUACCCUUUACUGGUGUUAUUUUAGUAUACUAUUAGAGUUUUUAUUCAUAUUUUGAAUUAGUUUUUUUUAUUUAUUUAUUUUUUAUUUUAAAGUCUUAGUAAUUUUGUUGUGGGUUUUUAUCAUUUGUAUGUUUUUUUUUUUUUUUUUUUGUCUAUAUAGUGUUUUUAUUAUUAUUUUAGUGCAUCAAGUUAAACUAAAUGAAAAUGAGAAAUGUUGACUUGGCCACUAGCUGAAAUAAAAUAAGUUUAAGGUUUUAUAUUUUAUGUCAGUUAUCAUUUAUUUUAUUUUAGUGAGGGUGAGUUCCAUUGAUCCAGUGUUUUGAGUGUUGAAGGUGUUGAUCUGUCUGUCCUGAUCCAGGUUUAAGAAGAUCAUCCCUGUUCCUGAUCAGAUGCUGUUCCUCGUCCCAGAACACACAGCUAUAAGGAUCCGUACCAGCUCUUCUUCGUCUUCGCCGCUGUCGGGGCCUUCGGAGGGACCGUGUUCCAGGAUCAGGCCUGCCUCGUCCACACCUGCAGAGGCCGUCCGCGAGCGCUGCUUCAUGGACCGGCUGCUGGAGAGGCGGCGGCCCGUCAUGCUGGUGGGCGACGCUGGCACCGGGAAGUCUGUUCUGGUGGGAGACGAGCUCGGCUCCUCGGACCCAGAGAAAUACGCCAUCAAGAACGUCUCCUUCAACUGCUGCAGCACGUCAGCCGUGUUCAGGGUGUGUUUGUGUGCGUUUCCCUCCUUACAUUUGACCCUGAAAGCAGAAGUGCAACUUCACUGGCUUCUGGACAUUGACAGAUCUUUGUGAUCUAAAGCAAACACCCAUGGCUCUUUUCUCCAGGCGUCAGCUGUUUUUGUGCCGUCCCUGUCUUUUUGCAAUCUGUUGUUCUGAUAUUUAUCCCUCCGCAUCAUGUGACGUUCGUACGCUCAAACCAGACCAAACCAGAGCGCACAGAUUCACAAUCACAUGCUUAUUUUAUUAAUAACUUUACUUUGACACAAUCAAUGUACGGCCCGGAACUGUUAAAAAAUAUAUAUUAAAAUUAUUAUUAUUCAUGUUCUUAAUCAAAAAAUGAUACGAGUUGUUUUAUUUUAUAUUCAUUUUAUAUGAAGUUUGCAAGUUUUGCAACCCAGCAGAAAUGAUUUAUGAUUUUUAUUUUCUAGCAAGCACCAAUUUAUUAUUUAGUUUUGGUGUUUAUUUAGCGAUUGCUAGAAAAUAAA